CCUACGGGAGGCAGCAGUGAGGAAUAUUGGUCAAUGGGCGAGAGCCUGAACCAGCCAAGUUGCGUGAGGGAGUACUGCCCUAUGGGUUGUAAACCUCUUUUGUCGGGGAGCAAAAGCCGGACGUGUCCGGCUGUGAGAGUACCCGAAGAAAAAGCAUCGGCUAACUCCGUGCCAGCAGCCGCGGUAAUACGGAGGAUGCGAGCGUUAUCCGGAUUUACUGGGUGUAAAGGGGGCGCAGACGGCGAUGAAAGCCAGGAGUGAAAGCCCGGGGCGCAACCCCGGGACGGCUCGUGGAACUGCGUGGCUGGAGUGCAGGAGGGGCAGGCGGAAUUCCUGGUGUAGCGGUGAAAUGCGUAGAUAUCAGGAGGAACACCGGUGGCGAAGGCGGCCUGCUGGACUGCAACUGACGUUGAGGCCCGAAAGCGUGGGGAGCAAACAGGAUUAGAUACCCGUGUAGUC
rnacentral:rRNA from 1 species